GGGCGCGUAGCUCAGUGGGAGAGCACCCGCCUUACAAGCGGGGGUCGCAGGUUCGAAACCUGCCGCGCCCACC
rnacentral:tRNA from 1 species